CCUACGGGAGGCAGCAGUGGGGAAUUUUGCGCAAUGCUCGUAAGAGUGACGCAGCGACGCCGCGUGAAUGACGAAGGCCUUCGGGUCGUAAAGUUCUUUCGACGGGGAAGAAAAUGCCUAUAAGUAACUGUGUAUGUAUUGACGGUACCUGUAUAAGCAGCCCCGGCUAACUCCGUGCCAGCAGCCGCGGUAAUACGGAGGGGGCGAGCGUUGUUCGGAGGGACUGGGCGUAAAGAGCACGUAGGCGGUGUUGUAAGUCAUUAGUCAAAGACUAGAGCUCAACUUUAGUAAGGCUAGUGAUACUAUAAUACUAGAGUAUCAGAGAGGAUUGCAGAAUUCCUGGUGUAGCGGUGAAAUGCGUAGAUAUCAGGAGGAAUACCGUUAGCGAAGGCGGCAAUCUGGCUGGAAACUGACGCUGAGGUGCGAAAGCGUGGGUAGCAAACAGGAUUAGAUACCCCUGUAGUC
rnacentral:rRNA from 1 species